UACGGGGGGGCAAGCGGUUGUUCGGAAUUACUGGGCGUAAAGGGCGCGGUAGGCGGCCUUCUAAGUCAGACGUGAAAUCCUCGGCUCAACCGAGGAACUGCGUCUGAUACUGGAAGGCUUGAAUCCGGGAGAGGGAUGUGGAAUUCCAGGUGUAGCGGUGAAAUGACGUAGAUAUCUGGAGGAACACCGGUGGCGAAGGCGGCAUCCUGGACCGAAAUUGACGCUGAGGCGCGAAAGCCAGGGGAGCAAACGGG
rnacentral:rRNA from 1 species